rnacentral:rRNA from 1 species
AUUGAACGCUGGCGGAAUGCUUUACACAUGCAAGUCGAGCGGCAGCGCGGCCUUCGGGCUGGCGGCGAGCGGCGAACGGGUGAGUAAUGCAUCGGAACAUGCCCAGUCGUGGGGGAUAACACUUCGAAAGAAGUGCUAAUACCGCAUACGUCCUGCGGGGGAAAGCGGGGGAUCGCAAGACCUCGCGCGAUUGGAGUGGCCGAUGUCAGAUUAGCUAGUUGGUGGGGUAAAGGCCUACCAAGGCGACGAUCUGUAGCUGGUCUGAGAGGAUGAUCAGCCACACUAGGACGGAGACACGGCCCAGACUCCUACGGGAGGCAGCAGUGGGGAAUGGUGGACAGUGGGGGCAAACCUGAUCCAGCCAUCCCGCGUGAGUGAAGAAGGCCUUCGGGUUGUAAAGCUCUUUCGGCAGGAACGAAACGGUGGGCUCUAACAUAGUCCGCUAAUGACGGUACCUGAAGAAGAAGCACCGGCUAACUACGUG